rnacentral:rRNA from 1 species
ACGGGUGAGUAACGCGUGGGCAACCUGCCUAUCACAGGGGGAUAACACAGGGAAACUUGUGCUAAUACCGCAUAACACAUCGAGGUAGCAUUACCUUGCUGUCAAAGGAGCAAUCCGGUGAUAGAUGGGCCCGCGUCCAAUUAGCUAGUUGGUGAUGUAACGGACCACCAAGGCGACGAUUGGUAGCCGAACUGAGAGGUUGAUCGGCCACAUUGGGACUGAGACACGGCCCAGACUCCUACGGGAGGCAGCAGUGGGGAAUAUUGCACAAUGGGGGAAACCCUGAUGCAGCAACGCCGCGUGAAGGAUGAAGGUUUUCGGAUUGUAAACUUCUUUAGUCAGGGACGAAUAAAUGACGGUACCUGAAGAAUAAGCCACGGCUAACUACGUGCCAGCAGCCGCGGUAAUACGUAGGUGGCGAGCGUUGUCCGGAAUUACUGGGUGUAAAGGGCGUGUAGGCGGGAAUGUAAGUCAGAUGUGAAAUCCCAGGGCUCAACCCUGGAGCUGCAUCUGAAACUAUGUUUCUUGAGUGUCGGAGAGGAAAGCGGAAUUCCUAGUGUAGCGGUGAAAUGCGUAGA